CUUCCGUAGGGUGAACCUGCGGAAGGAUCAUUACCUAGAGUUGUAGGCUUUGCCUGCUAUCUCUUACCCAUGUCUUUUAAGUACCUUCGUUUCCUCGGCGGGUUCGCCCGCCGAUUGGACAAUUUAAACCAUUUGCAGUUGCAAUCAGCGUCUGAAAAAACUUAAUAGUUACAACUUUCAACAACGGAUCUCUUGGUUCUGGCAUCGAUGAAGAACGCAGCGAAAUGCGAUAAGUAGUGUGAAUUGCAGAAUUCAGUGAAUCAUCGAAUCUUUGAACGCACAUUGCGCCCCUUGGUAUUCCAUGGGGCAUGCCUGUUCGAGCGUCAUUUGUACCUUCAAGCUCUGCUUGGUGUUGGGUGUUUGUCUCGCCUCUGCGUGUAGACUCGCCUCAAAACAAUUGGCAGCCGGCGUAUUGAUUUCGGAGCGCAGUACAUCUCGCGCUUUGCACUCAUAACGACGACGUCCAAAAGUACAUUUUUACACUCUUGACCUCGGAUCAGGUAGGGAUACCCGCUGAACUUAAGCAUAUCAAUAAGCGGAGGA
rnacentral:rRNA from 1 species